rnacentral:rRNA from 1 species
GUGGGGAAUUUUUCGCAAUGGGGGAAACCCUGACGAAGCAACGCCGCGUGGGGGAUGAAGGUCUUCGGAUUGUAAACCCCUGUCGACCGGGACGAAUGUGGUCCGGCCUAAUAUGCCGGGCCAUUGACUGUACCGGUGGAGGAAGCCACGGCUAACUCUGUGCCAGCAGCCGCGGUAAUACAGAGGUGGCAAGCGUUGUUCGGAAUUACUGGGCGUAAAGGGCGCGUAGGCGGUUCGCUAAGUCCCGCGUGAAAUCCCCCGGCUCAACCGGGGAACUGCGCGGGAAACUGGUGGGCUUGAGUUCGGGAGAGGGAAGCGGAAUUCCGGGUGUAGCGGUGAAAUGCGUAGAUAUCCGGAGGAACACCGGUGGCGAAGGCGGCUUCCUGGACCGACACUGACGCUGAGGCGCGAAAGCUAGGGGAGCAAACGGGAUUAGAUACCCGAGUAGUCC